GAUGAAGAACGCAGCGAAAUGCGAUAAGUAGUGUGAAUUGCAGAAUUCAGUGAACCAUCGAGUCUUUGAACGCAAGUUGCGCCCGAAGCCAUUAGGCCGAGGGCACGCCUGCCUGGGUGUCACACACCGUUACCCUCGCGCCAACGUCCAUCGUUGGCCGCGGCGCGGGGCGUGCGCUGACCUCCCGCGAGCGGGGUCUCGUGGUUGGUUGAAAAUCGAGUUCGCGGUCGAGGGUGCCGUGAUGAAAUGGUGGAUGGGCGACGCCCGAGGCCAAUCACGCGCGACUCUGUCCGGCUCGGACUCCUGGACCCCUUCGGCGUCUCCGGACGCUCUUUGGCGAGACCUCAGGUCAGGCGGGGCUACCCGCUGAGUUUAAGCAUAUCAAUAAGCGGAGGA
rnacentral:misc_RNA from 1 species